UACAGAGGUCCCAAGCGUUGUUCGGAUUCAUUGGGCGUAAAGGGUGCGUAGGCGGCGCGGUAAGUCGGGUGUGAAAUCUCGGGGCUUAACUCCGAAACUGCAUUCGAUACUGCCGUGCUUGAGGACUGGAGAGGAGACUGGAAUUUACGGUGUAGCGGUGAAAUGCGCAGAUAUCAGGAAGAACACCCGUGGCGAAGGCGGCUCUCUGGAACGCAACUGACGCUGAGACACGAAAGCGUGGGUAGCAAACAGG
rnacentral:rRNA from 1 species